rnacentral:sRNA from 1 species
CCCCUGCCUAGCCUGCGACUAAUUACCGCUGGCGAAAAGUCGGAACCUUCACCGACAGGCCGGGGCUCCUUUUUGAAGC